rnacentral:rRNA from 1 species
UUAAGCGACUAAGCGUACACGGUGGAUGCCCUGGCAGUCAGAGGCGAUGAAGGACGUGCUAAUCUGCGAUAAGCGUCGGUAAGGUGAUAUGAACCGUUAUAACCGGCGAUUUCCGAAUGGGGAAACCCAGUGUGNNNNNNNNNNNNNNNNNNNNNNNNNNNNNNNNNNNNNNNCACACUAUCAUUAACUGAAUCCAUAGGUUAAUGAGGCGAACCGGGGGAACUGAAACAUCUAAGUACCCCGAGGAAAAGAAAUCAACCGAGAUUCCCCCAGUAGCGGCGAGCGAACGGGGAGGAGCCCAGAGCCUGAAUCAGUGUGUGUGUUAGUGGAAGCGUCUGGAAAGGCGCGCGAUACAGGGUGACAGCCCCGUACACAAAAAUACACAUAUUGUGAGCUCGAUGAGUAGGGCGGGACACGUGGUAUCCUGUCUGAAUAUGGGGGGACCAUCCUCCAAGGCUAAAUACUCCUGACUGACCGAUAGUGAACCAGUACCGUGAGGGAAAGGCGAAAAGAACCCCGGCGAGGGGAGUGAAAAAGAACCUGAAACCGUGUACGUACAAGCAGUGGGAGCACGCUUAGGCGUGUGACUGCGUACCUUUUGUAUAAUGGGUCAGCGACUUAUAUUCUGUAGCAAGGUUAACCGAAUAGGGGAGCCGAAGGGAAACCGAGUCUUAACUGGGCGUUAAGUUGCAGGGUAUAGACCCGAAACCCGGUGAUCUAGCCAUGGGCAGGUUGAAGGUUGGGUAACACUAACUGGAGGACCGAACCGACUAAUGUUGAAAAAUUAGCGGAUGACUUGUGGCUGGGGGUGAAAGGCCAAUCAAACCGGGAGAUAGCUGGUUCUCCCCGAAAGCUAUUUAGGUAGCGCCUCGUGAAUUCAUCUCCGGGGGUAGAGCACUGUUUCGGCAAGGGGGUCAUCCCGACUUACCAACCCGAUGCAAACUGCGAAUACCGGAGAAUGUUAUCACGGGAGACACACGGCGGGUGCUAACGUCCGUCGUGAAGAGGGAAACAACCCAGACCGCCAGCUAAGGUCCCAAAGUCAUGGUUAAGUGGGAAACGAUGUGGGAAGGCCCAGACAGCCAGGAUGUUGGCUUAGAAGCAGCCAUCAUUUAAAGAAAGCGUAAUAGCUCACUGGUCGAGUCGGCCUGCGCGGAAGAUGUAACGGGGCUAAACCAUGCACCGAAGCUGCGGCAGCGACGCUUAUGCGUUGUUGGGUAGGGGAGCGUUCUGUAAGCCUGCGAAGGUGUGCUGUGAGGCAUGCUGGAGGUAUCAGAAGUGCGAAUGCUGACAUAAGUAACGAUAAAGCGGGUGAAAAGCCCGCUCGCCGGAAGACCAAGGGUUCCUGUCCAACGUUAAUCGGGGCAGGGUGAGUCGACCCCUAAGGCGAGGCCGAAAGGCGUAGUCGAUGGGAAACAGGUUAAUAUUCCUGUACUUGGUGUUACUGCGAAGGGGGGACGGAGAAGGCUAUGUUGGCCGGGCGACGGUUGUCCCGGUUUAAGCGUGUAGGCUGGUUUUCCAGGCAAAUCCGGAAAAUCAAGGCUGAGGCGUGAUGACGAGGCACUACGGUGCUGAAGCAACAAAUGCCCUGCUUCCAGGAAAAGCCUCUAAGCAUCAGGUAACAUCAAAUCGUACCCCAAACCGACACAGGUGGUCAGGUAGAGAAUACCAAGGCGCUUGAGAGAACUCGGGUGAAGGAACUAGGCAAAAUGGUGCCGUAACUUCGGGAGAAGGCACGCUGAUAUGUAGGUGAAGUCCCUUGCGGAUGGAGCUGAAAUCAGUCGAAGAUACCAGCUGGCUGCAACUGUUUAUUAAAAACACAGCACUGUGCAAACACGAAAGUGGACGUAUACGGUGUGACGCCUGCCCGGUGCCGGAAGGUUAAUUGAUGGGGUCAGCGCAAGCGAAGCUCUUGAUCGAAGCCCCGGUAAACGGCGGCCGUAACUAUAACGGUCCUAAGGUAGCGAAAUUCCUUGUCGGGUAAGUUCCGACCUGCACGAAUGGCGUAAUGAUGGCCAGGCUGUCUCCACCCGAGACUCAGUGAAAUUGAACUCGCUGUGAAGAUGCAGUGUACCCGCGGCAAGACGGAAAGACCCCGUGAACCUUUACUAUAGCUUGACACUGAACAUUGAGCCUUGAUGUGUAGGAUAGGUGGGAGGCUUUGAAGUGUGGACGCCAGUCUGCAUGGAGCCGGCCUUGAAAUACCACCCUUUAAUGUUUGAUGUUCUAACGUGGACCCGUGAUCCGGGUUGCGGACAGUGUCUGGUGGGUAGUUUGACUGGGGCGGUCUCCUCCUAAAGAGUAACGGAGGAGCACGAAGGUUGGCUAAUCCUGGUCGGACAUCAGGAGGUUAGUGCAAUGGCAUAAGCCAGCUUGACUGCGAGCGUGACGGCGCGAGCAGGUGCGAAAGCAGGUCAUAGUGAUCCGGUGGUUCUGAAUGGAAGGGCCAUCGCUCAACGGAUAAAAGGUACUCCGGGGAUAACAGGCUGAUACCGCCCAAGAGUUCAUAUCGACGGCGGUGUUUGGCACCUCGAUGUCGGCUCAUCACAUCCUGGGGCUGAAGUAGGUCCCAAGGGUAUGGCUGUUCGCCAUUUAAAGUGGUACGCGAGCUGGGUUUAGAACGUCGUGAGACAGUUCGGUCCCUAUCUGCCGUGGGCGCUGGAGAACUGAGGGGGGCUGCUCCUAGUACGAGAGGACCGGAGUGGACGCAUCACUGGUGUUCGGGUUGUCAUGCCAAUGGCACUGCCCGGUAGCUAAAUGCGGAAGAGAUAAGUGCUGAAAGCAUCUAAGCACGAAACUUGCCCCGAGAUGAGUUCUCCCUGACCCUUUAAGGGUCCUGAAGGAACGUUGAAGACGACGACGUUGAUAGGCCGGGUGUGUAAGCGCAGCGAUGCGUUGAGCUAACCGGUACUAAUGAACCGUGAGGCUUAACCUU